rnacentral:rRNA from 1 species
UACAGAGGGGGCAAGCGUUGUUCGGAAUUACUGGGCGUAAAGGGCGCGUAGGCGGCCUGUUAAGUCGAACGUGAAAUCCCCGGGCUCAACCCGGGAACUGCGUCCGAUACUGGCAGGCUUGAAUCCGGGAGAGGGAUGCGGAAUUCCAGGUGUAGCGGUGAAAUGCGUAGAUAUCGGGAGGAAUACCAGUGGCGAAGGCGGCUUCCUGGCCUGUUCUUGACGCUGAGGCGCGAAAGCUAGGGUAGCAAACGGG